rnacentral:rRNA from 1 species
UACGUAGGUGACUAGCGUUGUCCGGAUUUACUGGGCGUAAAGAGCGCGCAGGCGGUCGUUCAAGUCGAGUGUGAAAGCCCCCGGCUCAACCGGGGAGGGUCGUCGGGGACUGGUUGGCUUGAGGGCGGUAGGGGCCGGUGGAAUUCCCGGUGUAGUGGUGAAAUGCGUAGAGAUCGGGAGGAACACCAGUGGCGAAGGCGGCCGGCUGGGCCGACCCUGACGCUGAGGCGCGAAGGCGUGGGGAGCGAACGGG